AACAAUAUAAUGGAUAGAAGAAAACGAAAUUCAAACACAAUUCACAUAGUUCAAGAACCAAAAAUCCUUUGGAAUGGAGAGAAAGAAAGAGAGAGAGAGAGAGAGAGAGAGAGAGAGAGAGAGAGAGAGAGAGAGAAAUGUCUUAGUAAGCAACGUGGAGUAGGAGAAGUCAGAAUCCUUAGGGUUUUUACCGAUUGAAACUAGCUUCUACAAUUUCUUUCAGGGUGCGGGAAUUCAUCUCCUGUAAAUCCUUUGUGUAUUGGUAUUUAUCCACUAUUUGCAGCUGAGGGAGAAGAGCUCUGUUGGAUCACCUAGGGAACACGAAUAGAAGGUGUUGUCUCUGGAUUAAACUGGGUCGUCGCCUCAUCGGGUGUGGGUAGUAGUCGCUUCGUCGGAUCUGGGUCAUCACUCAUCAGAGCUGCGUCUUCAUCGUCGAUUCUUCGUCGAGUAGAGAACUGGAUCGUCGUAGGUGGGAUCGUCAGAGGUGGGCUCGUCGAAUCUGGGUCUUCACUCGUCUGAGCUGGGUCUUUUCCUCGUCAAUACUUCGUCGAGUAGAGAACGGGAUCGUCGGAGGUACGGUCUAUGGACCUUCUCCGCUUGAAAGUUGAAGUUGGGGAGGAGAGGCUAGGUUGGAAAAAUUGGGUUGAAAACAAAUAUUGGGUUGAAAACAAAUAUUGGGUUGGGUUAGGAUUUUUGCGGGUUAAAACUAAAUGAGCCCAAUCCUGUUUGGAUUAAAAAAAAUUUAACUCGAACUGGCUCAUUUAUUUAUGAACUCG
rnacentral:lncRNA from 1 species